GGGCUGGACUAUGGAGACUAGAACCUGGGCAGGACUAUGGAGACUGGAACCUGGGCUGGACUAUGGAGACUGGAACCUGGGACCAGAAGCUGGAACUUGUAGCUGGACUUUGGAGUAUAGAACCCCAGGUUGGAGUAUGGAGCAGAGAGGAGUUCUGGUCAACGGUGGCCGAACCGCUGGUACCCACGAGGUAGCUCUGGAGACCUGAGACCAAGGUGGAGCUCUGGAGAACAAUGUCGAGGCCUGGAGAUCCACUGACGCAGCCCUGGAGAGCAGGAAGCCGGUUUGUGUCUCCAUGGAGCUCUGGCAAUGACGGCAGAGGUAGGUUCACCUGGACAACCAUGUCAGAGAAUUGAGAUGAAUAACACAAAGCAGCUUGUUCUGAAACCUUUGGAGAACUGGGAUCAGGAAAAGAAGGCUGGGAUGAAGAUGAAGAUUUAACAUGAGGUACUAAUGGUAGUGACGGAUCUGGAGCCAUUGAUGGCGGUGAUAAAGAUACUGGAUACUCUACAGAUAAAAGAACUAGAUUAGGCAAGACCUAAGUAGAAAAUUAUCACAUGAUUUAUUGGUCUUUCACAAAUGAAACACCAAUAAAUCAUGACACUAAUAGUGGAAUCAGACAUCUGUACAUCUCAUAUAUGAAGCAAGAAGGCUGAAAGGCCUUUCUUACCUUUGCUUGGUGUGUGGGGCAUACAGCUGUCAUGGAGAUCAAUUUUAGUAUCAGAUGUCUGUAAGCCAUACAUCCCAGGUAGUGAGAAUAGUUUGGAAUUUAGUGUCUGUUCAGCACAUGUGGGGCAUACAGAUGUGGGGUUCCUCCAUUGACCACCAAGAUAUCUGUAUACCCCACAUACUAGGUAAUGAGUCUGGGUUGGUGUUUUUUGCUAUUGCCUGAUAUGUGGAGCUUACUGUUAUCAUGGGUUUUUUUAUGCUAGGACCAAAGAUCUGUAUGCCCCACAUGGCAGGCAAUGAGCCAGGGUGAGCAUUUAAUGUUCUUGCCAGGCAAGUGGUGCUUACAGAUGUCUGGUUGCUCCAUUUGCCACCAUGAUAUCUUUAUGCUCGCAUGCUAGGGAAUGAGCCUGAGUGGGUAUUUCAAGCUGUUCAAAUGUUUUGUGUUCUUGUCUGGUAUGUGUGGGCAGACAGAUGUUAUUGUUACCCAAUAUUCUUUCAAGAUAUUUGUACACCCCUCAUAACAGACAUUGAGCCUGGGUGGGCGACUCAUGCUAUUGACUGGCAUGUGGGGUGUACAGAUGUUAUUGUGGCUCAGAUGUAUGUACACCCCACAUGCCAGGCAUGGAAUCUGGGUGGGAAAUUUUUGCCAUGUCCCAGCAUGUGGGGAGUAGUUUUCAAGGGUUCUAAUGUUGGAACCAGACAAUGGGUCUGGGUGGGUGUUUUGUGCCAUUGCCCAGCACAUGGGGCAAAGAUAUUUUAUUGUGUUCCAGUACUUUAUCCAGACAUAUGUAAGGCCCAAAUGUCAUGGAAUGAGACUCAGUGGAUGCCAUUCCCUGGCAUGUGGGGAAUACAUAGGUUUGGUUCCAACAUUAGUCAUCAUGACAUUUUUAUACCCCUGUUCGACAGUGCCAUUGUCUGGUAUGUGGGGCAUACAGAUGUCAUUAGCUACGUUUACAUGUA